GGUGACGUGGCCAGGGCUGUGUCGACACCAGGGUGGUGUUGGUUGUGUGGGGUGCACCUGGGUCCUGUGUUGGUCUUUGAAGAGCAGCCGAUCAAGAUAAAUUAUAUAGUUUGGAAGGCCGCCAGCCAGCGCCCACCAGCGGCUCCAGUGCCCCUUGUGCCUUCACUUGCGGCGUCCCCUCUCCCCUAUCCUCCUCAAAGUCCUUCAGCAUGUCAGUGCUGUCCAUCCUGAGACGCGGGGAUUUAGCAGACUGGGUCCUGGUUAGGCUGGUGGGUCCCUCAUGACGACUGAGAGGGACUAGAGUGCAGGCCUUUGUACCCUUCCCGCGAGGCAUGUCAUUCCUGCAAGGUGGGGAGGAACAGAAGGGACUGCUUCUCCUUGGAUUAUCUUAUUUAUUCAUUCAUUCAUUUUUACUAUUUUUUUUUAUAUUACUUGUCUCUUUCCCUCUAGAAUAUGCAGGAAAAGACAAUUUCUAUAGGAAUGCUGUGAUUGUUCUGCCACUCUUGUUUGAUUUAUACUUUUUCUAUAACAGGAGGAGUAUGGAAGAGUAUGGCUUCCUCAUCACGGCUUACUAUGAGCUCAUACUUAUAAAACGCCUCUUUUUCAUGUCUAACGGCUCUUGUAUGUACAAUAUAUUAGCCAGUCAAAUUACACGGCACAUUGUAAUUAAUAUUGUGAUGCAAGGACAGCUCUGUUUGAAGCGGA